AUCUAUAUUCUAUAGCUAGCUGGCCGGCCAUGAGCAAGAGAAGGAUAAGUGUGAAGCCUAAGUCUCAAUCUAUCUCCUACUUUGAAGUAUCUCCUUCAAAACGUCGUGCUGUGCAUAAAAAGUCUCUCUCUUUGUCUGCUGUGCCAGAAUCCUCUUCUGUUAAUUCUUCCAGCAGUACUAGGUUCCUCUCCAGUGAUAAAAAUGAAGCUGAAGAAGUAGAUGUACAUGGAGCGAGCAGGCCUACUGAUGUUAUCAGUGGCGACUCUCCAGAUGUAUUAAUCAGUAACACGGUGAGCUCAAGUGCUUAUGAGAAGCGACAGCAGAAGGCUGCUGACAACUGGGCUGAAGUGCGUGUCCAGUUGCUACGUGCCAGUGUAGAAACCGGAAUUCCUUCCCCUUGUUCUGUGUGUGCCGAGUGUGAAGAACCCGCUGUUGCAAUUUGCCGGGAUUGUGGACCACAGGCAUACUACUGUGCCAACCAUGUGGACUCAGUACACUCUCUGACAAAUAUUUUUCAUCGACCUUUUCUCUGGAAAAAUGGAAUGCUUCACCCAUACUAUUUCAAGCAGUCGAGAACCUUUCCAGCACUUCAUUGUUGCUGUACAACUUACAUAAAAGAAGUUGUUUGUCUUGAUCCUAAAGGUUUCCAGCAUUGUGUGUGCGUAACCUUCUGCAAGUGUGAGCCUGAGGCUGUUACUCUUGUGCGGCAUAACAUGUGGCCAGCGACACCAGCAACUCCCACCCUAGCAUUUCAUCAGGAUCUGCUACUAUGGAUGGAGUCACUUUUGCUGGAAGGGUGUAUUGGUGUCGAUGCUUUUUGUCGUUCUCU